GUACACGCUGUGACUAGCAUAUCAAUAAGCGGAGGAAAAGAAACUAACAAGGAUUCCCCUAGUAACGGCGAGUGAAGCGGGAAGAGCUCAAAUUUGAAAUCUUAAAGGGUUUCCCUUUACGAAUUGUAGUUUAAAGAAGUGUUUUCUGUUGAGGUUUUGGUAAAAGUUCUUUGGAAUAGGACAUCAUAGAGGGUGAGAAUCCCGUAUUUGACCUUUACUUUCAACUUUGUGAUACACUUUCAAAGAGUCGGAUUGUUUGGGAAUGCAGUCCAAAAUGGGUGGUAAAUUUCAUCUAAAGCUAAAUAUUGGCGAGAGACCGAUAGCGAACAAGUACCGUGAGGGAAAGAUGAAAAGAACUUUGAAAAGAGAGUUAAACAGUACGUGAAAUUGUCAAAAGGGAAGCGUUUGACACCAGUGUUGUUUUUCUGAAAAUCAAUUAAAGAACUGUUUAUGCUAAGUUGUUUAGACUUUAUCAGCUAUCUGCUUAGUUUUGAGCUUUUCUUUAAUGCACUUUUCAGUUAACAAGUCAACAUCAAUUUCUUUUGCUGUAAAAAAGCUUGAGGAAGGUGGCUUGAGAUUCGUCUUAAGUGUUUAUAGCCUCUUGCCUAUGCAGUCGGAGAGAUUGAGGUCUGCAGCGUAGAUCCUUCGGGGCUAAAUGCAUUUGUGCUAAGUUAUAGCAUUUUAUAGACAACUUGUUGACUAUGAUUUGUCUUGUAGCUUACUCGCUUAUGUUAUUUUACCUACGCUUAGGAUGUUGACGAGACUGUCGAUCUC
rnacentral:rRNA from 1 species